CCACAGCUCCUGGAGCCCGUCACCAGCCCAGCCUGGCAGGGACAGUGGGAACAGUGCCCCUCACCCUGCCCUGGAGCCCCAGAGUGACCAGAGGCUCCGAGGCCCUGCCUGGGGGAGGCCACAGGGCCCAGAGCAGGUCAAACCCAAGGCUGUGCUCCCCACACGGUCCGGGCCCUCCCAUCCGGACACCUGAGAGCUGCUCUGCCACAGGGACCUGACGCUGCCGAGGUCUCAAAGAAUCACAAAACUCUCAACUCUCAUCCUGAUGCAAACCAGAGCCUCUCAGUGAGACACUCUGUCUUUUGGACACCAAGUUGUCAUCAAAAAUCUCACCAUCACUUCUUCACCUGCUCAUGUGGUGCCCAGCUGUGCCUUGUUGGCCCUGCACUUGCCUGUUGUAUGAGAUGUGCUACUCAGAGGCUGAUGUGAUAAACUCUGGCUCUAAUGGAAAACCAGUUAGGAAGCAGAAAGAGGAGAGAUUGCAGAGCUGGGGGCAGCAAUACCCAACUUGUGACCCAACACUGACCUGCUGGAGUGGGGCAAGAACUUCCAUGGGAAGCUGGGAAAAAGAACUUGAUCCUACAGUUCAACAGAUUCAGCCAAUACUUGCCAUGCCUUGAGAUGGCAUUUCCACUGGAAUGCUGAAGGCACCUCAAGGUCUACACAAGGACCAUUAUGUCAUGAGAAAUAUGAGAGAUAACAAGUCCUGCAAAGCCAUAAUUUGUGUGCAGGCUGACAUGUUUCUGCAGCAUGGACAGGGAAAAAGAGGUUGUGGGUUUGUUUUUUUUAGAUUUUUAACACAGUUCAGAAACAGAUGAGCGUUUAACCUCCUGAGACCAAACAUAUGUUACUAUGAAGUAGCAAACUUGCGUGUUUGUUGCCCAUUUCAUGGCUGGAAGCUGAAGAUGUUUUGGCAUCACUAGUUAAAGUUUGAUAAAGCUUCCUGAGCUCAGCAUGUCCUGCUGUUGUUCGGGAGAGAUACCGGCUCAGCUGGCUGCUUUUCCAGGCAGCACUGCUCUCCCCAGGCCUCCCCCUGCAGACACCAACUUCUGUGUGAUAAGGAGAAGUUUUCAGCUCUGAACACUCAUCAAAAACACCACUCCUCCGUGUGGUGUUGCCUGCAAAGCAGUGGAAAGAUCAAACAGCCCCUCAGGCAGCUGCUCACAUUGGUCAGUGCCUCUGAGAAGGAUGAGCCCAUCAGUGGAGCCGAGCACUGCUGUACAUCACUGGCACGGGGAGGGGGAAUGACCUUGAGCUCUUGGCCAAGUCAGUAACAGUGUCAAUCCAUUAUCUCCAGGUACUAUCCAACAAGCUGCUGCAGGCAGGGAUGGCUCUGGAGCAGUUUGUAACUGCUUCAAUUGGAAAGCACAUCUAAACUUAAUUUAGUGAAUUUAGCAACACUGGAAACCCCCACUGUUACUAGGAGUGACAGAGCCCUGGGUCUGUGUUCCUUUACACUCUUGUAAAAAUAAGAUAAUGCCCCCUUACGUCUGCUGUUCUUUCUGUUAUCAAAAUUUGGACAAGUCACUAGUGGGGGUUUUCUUCAUAAAUCCUCAAAAGCUGUAAAAAGUGGCAACUUCACAGUUGCUAUGCCAACACUCCAUAACAGAGCAAAUGACAUGAUGUGGUUCCCAGCAUUUUGGCUGUUGUUUUUCCUACUAGAGUGACAAGUUAACGUUGGCUGUUUUGUUACUGAGGAGCAGGAUCGUUGUUCCAAACAGCUGUCAUUUAAAAAAAGCGAGAAUAGAAAUGAAGGAAUAAGUUCCAUGUAACCAAUGGAUUUCCCUUGCUCAUCUAUUUAAUUACUUCAUUGUGGUGAGUAUGAGGAAGAUUUUCUAUAUGACCAUAAUAAGAAACUAGCCCUUCUAUGUCAGGAAUAAUAGGUACUGAACUGAAGUUCAGUCCUGCUUCAGCACAAACCAAUAACCAAAUUCAGAAUAAUUUCAUCAUUAUGGGCUAAGCGAUGCAAUCCCUGGCUUAGAGUGCAAUAAAAAUCUACCAGAAGCACAGAGAAUCAGCAAAAACUAUUUUCCAAAGUCUGGAUUUCCUGUGCACAAUAAAUUGUCAGAACAUCUCAUAGCCCAAGAAGGUACAAAUUAGGUUGUUGGUUUCCAGCUGCAAGUUAUUGGUGUGGGGAAUGACAUGGAUCAACAGAGCUGCUUGUGCACAUCCAUGUUUCCAGACUUUAAAGAGCUACUGACAAGGUAAUUGUUUGAUAGAUGCAGCAUGUUAUGGGGCUGCUCUCCAAACAACACCAGCAUCAAUAUUUGCUCAUAUUGUCAGCAUAUGAGCGAUCUGCCCUCAAAUUGUGUCUGAAAGCAACACGACCACAUUUUCUCAGAAAAAGUUGCAUUUGCAUGUUCAGUGGAGAAAAAUCUCUGUUGGUGAUAACACACUGUGGUCAAGCUGCUCAAAAUUGCUGAGUAACUUCUGCCAGACAAACGCUCGCUGAGCGUGUUCUGAGAACACUGAGCACGCGCUGGGCUGGCAGAGCUGUCAGUCUCCACAUGAACUCUGGGAACCAACUCAUUCCAACUCAACUGGGAUUCAACUUGCAUUGCCCUGAGCAACACCAGGAGUUUCCUGAGUCAGUGAAUAGGAUCAGUUGUUUUAAUUUGAACCUUUCAGAAAGCAAAUCAGAACAAACCAGUCAGACCGACAGCGUUGAAAUUGCCCGUUUAUGUAUUAUGAUGUUUUUGGUCUGCUUGCACUUUUCUCCAUAAUCAUAUUGUCAUAAACAUUUUCCACUGAAAGUAUAAUGUGAACAACCCUUUUACUUUUCCAAUCCAGUGAAUUUUUAGGAAGAUGAACUGAAUAACAUUUCCAUAAAUCAGAAAGCAUUAAGUGGUACCAAUGGAAGGGAACUUGUUUCAACUGGACAGAAAUUCUUCUUCUCUGUUGUGUUUUUAUGCAUUGGGGCCAUCUACAGAUGAAGUUAUAAGGCAGUUUUCAUGCAUGAGGUAAGAAAAUGGUCAAUACUAGGUUUUAAAGCAUUUUAGGAGACUUUGCCCUUAGCAGUGUAUGUCUUGUUUGACCAGUAAAUUAGAAGGGAUUCCACUUUAUAUUAAAAACAAAUAUAAGUAGGCUUGAAAUUUCUCUAAAACGCCCUUAUAAUAAAUUCCACCUCAAACAGAUUUCAUUGCGCUGCAAGUUUUCCACCAUAUUUUUCAGCUUAUGGGUGCAUGUAAAAUAUUAUGUAUUAUCCUUUCUUUAGUGUCACUAGUGCCACACUAUUUAGGAAGUUCAUUUGGUUGUCCUGGGGUUAAAGAAAGCCUAAACUUGUACUUGACACUCUUUCUUGUUACAGGGUCCUGCUUGCUUUCUGCUCUGUAGAAAAUGGAUCAGUGUCAUUGGUCUGUCUUUCCAUUAUUGCCAUUUUCCUAUUUUUAGCAUAUUUUUCAUUACUAUGCCCUAAUUCAUGUUAAAAUUCAGUGUGUCCUGUUUCCUUGACUCCAGACAUUGCUCCUUGAAGAUGCAGAUCUGCUGAAAAACAGUACUCUCUAAAAAGUAAACAGUUUCCCUUACUCUCAGACUAACAUUAAAAAACAGUCUCUCAAAAGUUCUCAAAGGAACAUGUUUAAAAAUGAAUGGGUAGACAUUUGUCUUUGUAAUGGAUAGUGUAUUUUUAGGUAGUAUAAAUUUUAUAGAAGUCAUAAAGUUUUAUGAACUUUAACAAAUGUCCUUCUCAGAAUAACUUGGGUCUUACUGUCAGUAUGUUAUCUGGGAAAAGGCGACCAGAUCUGUUCCUAAAAGUGAGGAAUUUGCAAGUGGGAGGUUACUUAGGUUUGGGAAGAGAGUUUAAACUCAAUCCUUUCAACGCCUGCAUAGGCAAUGCAGCAAAACCAGUUGUGUGGCUUCAGCAUUCUUUUGGUUUUUCUCUAAAACCCAAUAAACCUCUGUACCAGGCAGGAUUUGUCUUCUCUUGCAGGAAUUUGUCUCCCUUUCUUGGGACAAAUGUGACCUGCUCACUAGUCCCAUAAGCUACAAGUUACUUGAGCUGAACUUGAGGAGAAAAGGUCCCUGGACUUGCUGUGUCCGUGUCCCACGUGCUGGCACCCAGCCCUCAGGGACUAAGGAUCUUGUUGCAAACAGAUGGAGUACAGGCAGGUUGGGCCAUGAAUGCUUUUCCACCUCCACACCAUCGCUAUAUGGUCCAAAAUGUGGCAUAAAAUGCUGUAUUUUCCUUUUUGCCCUCUUAGCCCUGGCUCUGUCACUGAUUGUCUAGUGCACUGAUGUUGAACUGACAGCUGGGAAGCGGAGGGGGAGGAAGGACAGUGCCUAGACCACCCACUCGGGGCCCUGACUCUGCUCCACCUCCGCUGACCUACCUGGGGGUGGGCACUGGGACUCAGGAGAGAAGCCCCAAGAGCAUCUCCUUCCCUCUGCCUUCAAGCUGCCAGGAUUUUCCCUGGACUGCAGCACAGCCUCAGCUAUACCCAGGGAUACAGAAGCUGCAUCACUUGCCGGCGCUGGGCUCUCUCUCCUGAGGGCAGUACGUGUUCUCCAUCAAGGGGGUCAAUGAGUUUAGUUACACUUCAUCAGAACUCUUGUAGGUGUCAGGAAAACUGAGCUCAUAAUCCUGGUAUUACAGCCUUGUGGGAAAGAAGACCCUACUCUGAGGUUUGCCACGUGAAUUUUGGGUUCUGCUGCUCAAACACCUCUUUCUGCAACUGCCUUUAGUAAAGGAAUCUUGUGACUAUAAAUCCCACGUGUGUGACAACUGUAUUUAAAGCUGAAUUACCAAAAAAUGCUCCAAUUUCAAGGGUUUUUGGCAUCAGUAUUUGUUGGUCAUUCAAAUGCUACUGAACAGCAAAUCCUUUAAGAGUGAAGAGCCAUAAAUGUACCCUGGGAAGUGAGGGAGCAACAUAUUUGUAUCAUCCAGAGGAGGAAGGGCACGGAGUCCUUCCACACCCGGUGAGGACUCCAUGGGCUGGUGAAUACAAAGGGAACAGUGAGCAGAUGGUGGACAGGAGGCACUAAUGCCACUGCUGGUCUCCUGGGGUCGCUCCAGAUUGCACCAGGAAGGGUCUCCAGGUGGCUCCUGCUGAGGAAGGUGGGUGAAUAUGAUCAAUAGAAGGCAUCAAGUGCUGGCUUGCGAAUCAAAGGCACAACUGUGGAAAUGCCAGUCUGCACAUGGGGUUUGACUGAGCUGCCAGGAAGUUAUCCAGAGGCACUGGAAGACCAACCCGGUAACAGGAAAUGAAUGAAAGCAUUUCUGAGCGGAUCCUGGGCUGUGAGUGCCGCUGGGGGUAUUUGUACAGGCAAUUCACCCCAUUAAGGGGCUGCUCAGAUGUCACAGAUUAGCCACUGCCAGCACCAGUGACCUUUCUGCACAGUGCUUUAAGAACAAAAAGAUGGAAAUUCCCAUUUUCUAAACGUGGUCCAAAAAAACCCCUCUGUGCUCUUGUUAAAGCAGCUGCAUUGAAGAGGAGUGAUUAGAACUGGCCUGCUUUUUUUUUUAGCUUGCACCUGUCUCUCAUUCCACAGCUGAGGACACACUGAAAUCUGCUUCCCUAUAGGCCUGGUCCUGCCUGAGCUUCAGGUGGUAAUUAAAUUCAUCAUCAUCUACACCUAUUUCCACUUAACCUCUUGAGGGGAAGAGCCACCUGAACACCAGCAGUUGCUGGAACUUGCAGGAGUGAGGCACCCACAGGGAAUAGAAGCUCUCCCAUUUCUCCAUCUCCAAAAGGCCUUCCAUCCUUCCAGAGCAACCCAGAGCCCUUCAGUGCCACACUUGUGAUGUUGGACUGGUUUGGAAUGUGCAGUCAGCAGAAGGGAAGGUGGGAGCACAUGGGAAAACACACUGCAUCUCCCUAUGCAGAGAUAUCCCAAGUGUGCACCUCAAAGGAGGAGCAGUUCAUUGCUGGCCAAUCCCAUGGCUAUUGCAUGAACACCCUCAUCAUUCUCUGCUCUUCUGAGAGAUAAACUUCCCUGGACUUCAGGAAAACUUCACAUCAGCGCUUCUUAAUAUCCUCUAUCAGAGGCACAAAAAGCCCUCAAAUUAUUUAGGGAGAAAAACCUUAUCCCACUUCAGAGACAAGAUAACCUGUGGAGGUGCAGAGCUUAGAUUGUCUUCCCAAAUGGAUACAGCAUGGGAAUGAGGAAUCAGAGGACUCAGUGAAGCAGAAAACCAAAAGUUAGUCUUCAGUGGUUGGGGAAAAUCCUGAAAGUUGGCGGAGGUGGUCUCCGGAUGAUCCAGCCCAGUUUUUCCAGGACGAGGGAGCAAAGAGCUGGCAAGUGCAGAUUCCAGUUGCUCCUGGAGUCACAGAAAAGGGAAGAGGAAACACCGGGAUGAGGGGAUAUAAACCCACGUGCAGGGACAUGAAGCAGAGGACCUGCUUGGACUGUGACCACUGACAACCUCUCAGCUACACGAGGAGUUCAAGGAGUGCACCACAGUUUGUCAGUGGCUCCCAUGUACCUCUUGCUGCCUCAUGUCUGAAUGUCACCUUCCCAACUCUUCUGUGUGGUCAGAGCACAGGAGCCGGACUUUGGGAUGAAUCCAGCAUGAGAAAGGUGCUCCACAAGGACAAUUCCUGUGCUCCAGCCAGGCCAGAUUGGAAAACCCAACCAGGUGUGCAAUAGGGAUGUGGGGCCCCGACGACCAACUGGAGAUCUGCUCCUAUUUGGCUUUCCCAUUACUUUCCAAUGUAGAUGGAGCCAUGUGACACCCAGAGUCCCUCAGCAGCAACACACCAGUUAUGGAAAAGACUCUGAAACAUCACCAAAAAGAGGACUGGGCAAUACUGUGAAUUUCAAGUCUUUGAUGAACCAUCAUUCCAGUAACCCUGCCAGAUACAGAUACCACUGGUCUUAACUAGCACAGCCAGAGCUGAAGUUGCCAAGAACUCUGGAAAAAAAAGGGAGGAAAACAAAGUCAGCCGACUGCAUGCCAAGGAGGAGGCGGAAAAACAGGUACCUCUGGAACCCUCUCCACAUGAUGCUGUGGAGGGAAUUUUUUACCCUGUGGAGAAAUACCAGAGUUUUAAUUCCCUAUGGAGAAAACCAAAAGAAGCAGCUUCGACUCAACGCCCAGCUUUUAGAUGCCUAAACUGAGCCACAGGGCAGCCUGGCUGUUGCCAGGGAUAUAGUAAAUGCAUGUGACACCGGGCCACCACCAACAAUCGAGCGAGUCACACUCAUUCCUGGUGUAACGGCGCUGAAAUCGGCACAGCCGGGCUGGGAGCUGGACAGCCCAGCUAUGAACCUGGAUAAAGAGUUUUCUUUAAGGAAAGUGCUCUUAAAAAUAGCUUUCGGGGAGAAAUGUGCGGGUUUUACUUGUAAAAUGGCUGUUGGCAAAGGAUUUGUUGCCAAACUCCAGUCAGAGCACCAGUGAGAGGUGGUAAACAUGCCAUUCUGACAAGGAAUUAGCAGGCAACAUAGCACUGGGGAAAAUAUUACGACUUUCUUCUUCCCUGACCUGAAAGAGCCUGUUAGGAGAUUAGGAAUCUCCAUCUCUCAAAGGUAUAGCUGUUUUACCAAAAUUUAAUUAAUGAAGAAUAAUAUUUUGGGAACAAGAGAAAACACCUCUGUAGGAUGUGGAGUGUUAGGAAUACAUGGAAAGUUGCCUGUAUAAACAGUUCAGCAACUCUGGGAUAAAUUAUAGGAGCAUUUGUAUGCAUGAUUGCCCAUCUGUGUAAAACAAGACGUGCAGCCACAGACAGGAAUGAUGUGCAAGGCAGACGUGGGGCUGAUGUUAACUUGAUCCAGAACAGAAGAUCUGUCCCAUCACAUCUGAGUUUGACCCAAGGAAGUUUAGAUAAAUCUAAAUAAGUAAAUAAAUAGAGGAAGAGGCCUCAGUGAGAGGAAACUCAAGGUAUGCUAUCCACGAAUCUGUUUCUGGCUUUGGGGUUUAUUUAGACUCAAGUCAGAUUUUGGACUGUUAUUUCUCCACUUGAAGGUUUUUUGGCAGUUGCAGGAGGGCCGAAGGCUCAGAUCCAGCGUGUUCCUUCCAGCUGCAGGCCCAGCGCAGGCCACGGGCACUGGCAGGGGUGUGGUGAGCUGGAGGGCUUCAAACCAGGGAUGCUGUCAAGAACUCUGCCUUCCACAGCUCCCCUCUCAAGCACCAGCUGCAAAAUGUCAACACCACCUUCCUCAGAGAACACAAUUAAUUAAACCAGGCUUAAUUAAUUAGUGUCAGUAAAGCAGAUGUAGCAGUUAUGGUGGAAGUAAACAAAUGUACAUAUUGUAAAUUAUCAUCUUCUCUGCAAAGGAUUUGGUCUGAAAUCCCUGUGGCCAUUUCAUUCCUCCCCACGAUGCUAUUGGGAAGGCCUCAGGGAAACAUGCAGAGAUAAACUGCUAAUUGAUGAGGAACUAAUAUACUUCUAUAGGUUUAUAUCUCAGAAAAACAAUCAGCAAAUAGAUUUGUUUAUUAACCCCUUUGGACUUGAUGGUGAAAUACAAUCCUGAUAUUUAAUUUCCAUAUCAUGCAACAUCAUGUGCCACAAAUAGGUCAAUUGUUUAAAGUCUUGGGAGUUUUAUUUGAAAUGUUUUACACUUGAAAAUCCAACUGAGGGUUUUGUAUCAUCUACCAGUGCUGUUCUUUGAUAGAGCAGGAGAAAAAGUGUUUCCUAUACAGGUAAUAAUCAACUGUGUAUCUUGGUCUGAGUGUGUUGCUCACCGGAGCAGAUUUUGGCCUGAUUUUGCCCUACUGAGAGUGAGGAAAAAUGAUGCUAAACUUGGGUUGGUUACACUGAAUGUAGCCUGAUGUGAGUAAGGGAGAGCAUCAUAACCCCACUGACCCAAUAUACACCUCCCCUGAGGCAAAAGGGACACCUUUUAUAAGGUGCUGAUGCACUGACAGCAUUCAUCCCUGCAUUGGAGGUUGAGAUCAAGGGAAAGAAAAGGGGAAAAAAAUUGGUGGGGUAAUGAAACACCAGUAACUAGUGAUUGUGAAGGUAUUUGUUAUAUGUGUCUGUGCAGUUGGUGUUCUGUAAAGCUGAAUGUGAGUGUGAAAAAGCAGAUGUGGAGCCACUCCAGUCUGGAGCCUUUAGAAGGAAAGUGAAGUAAAUCUCUCGUGCCCUGUAGAUAUGAGGACAAUGCAAACUCAAUAUAACGGGCACUGUAAUAGUGAAGCACACUUGGAAAAUGCAGAUAGAGAAGGCAUACUUUACUAGGGUACAGUCAUCUCUCUAAUUCAUGCUGUAAAGAAGCCACGAAGGGGGAAAAAUUCCCCCUUUCCUUGGUGAUGACUCAAUGGAUUAAUGUAGGCAGCAGCAUAUGGCCAGGGUGCUGUGAGGGGUAAGUUGCAGAGAGAGGCCACUACUCUUCCUGCCACUUAGCCUGUGUGAUUCCCCUUUCCUCCCCCAGGAUACUGAUAUCAAUUAGUCUCUGUGGAAACAGAAGUUUCCGUGGCCCAUGCCAAGGUCUCCCCUUUCUUUCUUCAGCUGACAGCAAUUCCUGUGCAAAGGACUGCCCAGUGCCGGAUGGUGUGUGACGGACACUGCUGCAGGUGCAUCUUAGAGAGGUUUUACAAGACAGCUUUGCCAGCAGCCAGCUACACUGAGCCUUCUGGGAUCUGAGCACCUACUCAGGCAAUGGUAACUUUGCAUUUAAUCGUCAAUGACAGGUUUUACAUGAACACAAAAUACAAGUAAUUCUCAGGAACUUAUGCACUAAAAGCUAACCAGCUCUCCAUAACAUCUUGUCCUUUUUUUGUAACCUUGUUUUAUAUUCUGGAUAACACUUAAAAGUGUGUGUGGGGGGGAGCCCAGUUGAAUGCAAUUGAGGCAGUUGAAUGCAAUGGUCUGAUAACAAGUAACUCAACAUGUAACUAAACAAUACCAUCUUCAAGAAGUCACUGGUCAGAUCGUAUGACCUCCACUUAUACAGGAAUUUCUGAGAGCGAGUCCAGCACGUUAGUGCGUUACAGAGUCUGAGUACUUCUGCAGACCUCGUAUUAGUAGAUGCCCACAGGCAUCACCUCUCCUGCCUCUUCCCAUUUGCCAGUCCUCAUGCUGUACCCACGCCACGCUGGCAGUGCCUUUCCAAAUCUCUGCUCUUUUUCAGUAGUCAGUGAAUGAGAAGCCAAAAGCCAAGGGGCUGAAAUGUGGAGGCCCAGCAGGGUGCUAUGGCUGCAGCCUUUGCUACCUGCCUGCAGGAAGCUGAACAGGUUCCAUCCUCCUGUCCUGUACGUUAACUGGCCCGGCCUCUCCAAGGAGAGGCAGCAGCAUUGAUUUACUGCACUGUAUAAAUGUGUUUAUGGCUUGGCACGAACACACUUACACUCGCUAUUUUCCAGCGUGGAUUUCCAAUAAGCCCCUUGCUCAAAUGAGUCUAUUAAAUUUAGAGUGCUUGAAGCUAAAACUGAAUUCUGAGAGGUAGCUUUGGGGGUUGAAGCCCAAAACAGCUGGGAAAGGCUCCUGGAGCCUUCUGUUAGUGCCCGUUGGGGUUGAUAUUUAUAUUGAGCAAAAAUAAUUGAAGAAGUUAAAGCAACCCUGGCAGAACACAUCGCCUCAGCCUGAGCUGCCUUUUUACUUCAGCUGGCACUCAGACGCACCCGAUUCCACAGGGUUAUUAGAGCAGCUCCUGAAUUAAGCCAACGUGAAAUCAGAAUAUGACCCAUUCCUUUCUCUCCUUAUGGACCUAAUUUCCAGUAGUCUCAUUUCCCUGUUUCUGCAGUGGAGUACAAUAGCCGGGGGAGAAGCCCAUCCAACCAUGGUCCCUCCCUCAUGGGUGUGUUUUGGUCUCUGGUGUUCUGCGGGGCUGGGAUGCAGUUCCCUCCCCUCUCCCAGCCUGGAGCUGUCCUUGGAGCCUGUCAGUGCUGCCCUGCUCACUGCUGUGACACUGUCAUGUGUAACAGCAAUUUCCAUCCCUGCAGGGACAGGAAAUGGAGCAGAAAGUUUUAGAGGACCCCUAAGUACAGUCCAUAAUUACCUAUACCUGCUCAAGAUUAUGUCUCUCCAGCUAAGGAAUAAGGCUGAUUUCUAGUUGCUAGUAGUUGGACUUUAUUUGGAAUAAAAAAGGAAUGCCUUACUACCCAUGGAGGAAAAAAAAGAGAUUUGUAGAGAAUGGGAUUAAAUUAAAGAAAGUAGAGUUUAGGAUGAACUCUAGGGGUAAAAAUCUAUAGUAAAUCUACUGAACUGUGGAAUGAUCUCAAGUGAGCAAUGGAGCCUCACAGUGUGAAGAAAUAAAAUGAUAUCUGCCAAAGCCUUGGGAAGGCAAUGUCUGGGGAGGCAGCACGGCCUGGCUGUGGCAGUGCAGGAAUUGUGGGUGUUGGGAUUAUACAUUGUACAUCCACUGAACCUACACUUGUCCUGUAUUAAAGUCUGUGUGUAUUUCUCAGGUAGGUACGACCUGCAUAGCUUUAAAUCCUGCCUCCAUUUAAACUAAUGGGAAUCGUACAGGCUAACUGAACAGGAAGCCAUCAGAGCACACCAGUGACUCUGGCUGUCCCACCCUCAGCACAUGAUGCCUUAAAAAUUCUUCAGACCUACAUGAGUUAGAAUGUGGUUAUUACUGGAUAUUUCUGCUUAAGAAGUCUCCUCUUGGUUUUACAAUUAUCUGUAGCAUUCAGCUCUAGUACGUACGGGGAGAAAAGAAGACACAAACCAAAAGCAUUUCUCUCAUUUGCUGGAAGGAGAGAAAAAUACAACUGGACUUGCUACAGAAUUAGAACUAAGUAGAAUUACUUUGCGCUUUUUUUUUCCCAUGGAGUUUGUUCAGUUUCUGGCAGAUAACAAGGAAACAUCUCCUGAUCUGUAGCUGUCUGGGGAAUCCCUUUUCUAGAGGAAAGAGAAGUUGAGGAGGAAGAAGGUUGGUGGGCUGAGUCCUGAACCUGACCUAGAGCUGUGCCAACAAAUCCAUGUGCUGUGUGUGAGUGCCCUGGGGAACAGGACCCUUGUAGCUUCAAACACCACAAUACAAAUGCCUGGUCUGUUGUGCUCGUGGAUGUGUUUAUGAUCACUUGGAGGAUAAAAUACAACACUUUUCCAUGAUGGAGACUCCGGUCCCAGCCAAGAGAGCACAACCACACCGGUGUAACACUCCUCCUGCAAACACACCACCACCCAGGUAAGAGUUCAUCUGACUGAAAUAUCCCUGAGGCAGCUGACAAGAAACCUUGAACUGCUUGAAUACAAAACCAGAUGCCUGUGUUCACUGUGGGGUGACCCUCUGCUCCAGCUCUGUGGAGCAGCGAGGCCGAGCAGUCCCAGGGCAGGCGGGAGACUCCGGAGUGCCGCCAGGCUGAUGGAGACCGGCGUUUGUCCGAGGAUUAUCCUCAGGCCCCUCAUCAUCACAUUUUCGCUUGUUCUGUGUGGGUGGGGACUUGAUGACAAUUCCCUGAAAUUUCAAUUUGGAAGAAAGAGCUUCAUGUUUGACCUUUUCUCUCCAGCGCCAUGUCUGCCUGCCUUGCCCACAGGCUUCAGAUGGGUCCUGUUCCCUUCGGUUUAAGGUCCAGAUGAGCGAAAUGAGGAGAUCCCACGUCGGCUGCAUGAGCGUUCCUGCCACUGCCCGUGGCUGGAGUUGCCUGAUGCCGUGAGUUUUCUGUGUCAUGGACCAUCGUGAGAGAAAAUCAUGUGCUGAGGGAGAAACCCAGCAGUGAAGGAGUAAAUAGCUGCUCUGAAGAUCAGCUUAUUAAGAGGCAGACAUCUGAAUGAAGUGAGGUUCCUGGGGAGUCUGUGGCACCAGGCAUGCCAAAAAGGGAGGCAUGAAACCCUGUUAUGUGCCAUGACCAAGCAAAAGGCGUUUUUACCUAGGCAGGAUUGGUGGUUAAUAUUCUGCUCCUGUGCUGUGCUCACUGAAGCCCCGGAGUGCUUUUGUUCCUGAUCUGGGUCUUGUGCAGCACAUUUACAUGUGACCAACUGUUGGAGUGGCUCAGUCACCUCGGUACAGAACAGGGCUCAGCUGAAAUGCCAAAGGCACGAGCUUCGUUUGGGACGUGAGGAAAAACCAAACAAAAAUAUCACAACUUUUUUUUUUCUUUUUCUUUUUUUCUUUGAUAAAAGCCUUAACAACAGCUUCCUUAUUCAACAGGACGGUGUGUCGUAUGGUUACAUUACAUCUGGUCAAAAGCCUAAGGAUGAUUUAGCUUUUAACUAACUUUUUUUACUUUUAAUUGAGUUUGUUAGGCGUAAAUAGCUGAAUGACACAGCAUUUGUUUAACUCAGUAUAUUCACAGCUUAAUUAAAUAAUUCACAUGCUAGUCUCUAAUCGUGACGUGAAAAGACCAAAAACCAAAUUAAAUAAUCAUAGCUCCCUGAGCCAAUUGCUUGGAAAAGAGGAGCAGGGUCUGUUGAGACAUAUGGCAAACAAUCUUUGCUGCAAACCAGCAAGCUAAAACACACCACUACUACCAUGUGGUAAGAGUACAUAUCCUUUUGCACAACAUAUUUUCCAAACACACUCUCGCCAGGAGCAGCAGGUGUGUAACUGAACUUAGGUUUGAACAGAUAAUUUGAGCACUAUGAAUUGGAAGGAAAGGGAGGAAACUGGGAAAGGGGAUGAAAUAUUGUGAAUUAAAAUUGCAAUUUCCCUUACAGCUUUUUUAAUUGUUAGCUUAUAAGUUGGGAAUUUGUGAAAUGUGACAAAUAAGGAAGUAAUUGAGAAUGCCUGCUGCACUGAGAUCUGUCUCUGCCAACAUAUGCGUUCUCUGCUGUGGUGCUGUGGUAAUCCUGGUGUGGCACAGGCAGGACGAAGGAGGUGUGCAGGGGAAUAUCCACUGGAGCCAGAACGGCAGGGCCUCGAAAAUUCCAUAUGAGGACCUCAGAGUAGAGUAAGACACCACCAGGAGAUUGGAACCUUUGCCAGCCUGCAGAGGCCUGUCCUCCAACUGAGAACAGCUCAAGUGCAACGUGUGCUGGCCACGUGUCCUCCUGUGCCUUGUUCAUUUUUCC